rnacentral:lncRNA from 1 species
GCAUGUCAUGUGAUCUCCCUGUGAAUGAGCCAAGACAAGGACUCCCAGCCUUCUGACUGCUAAAUCAUUGCUCUCUUCAUUACAUCAUAUUGUCACAGCUGUUUUGCAAGAUGACUAAUUUAUGAGAAUAGUUCAAACAACGUAUCUGGAAGUAGAUUUUUAAAAAGAGAACAGAGUCUUCAAUUGCCAGUGAUUGUCUAUAGCUUUUACUUCCUCAAGACACCACUUUACGUUGUUUAUUCUGAUCCAGGCACAGUACAACUUCAUUUUAUUCUCCAAAUAAAAGACUGCUGAAGCUUCUGAGAAAAAGAAAAAAGCGAAGGAUCAUCUUUGAUCAUGCAGUGAGCUGAUUCCAAAAUGUGGACAAAAAGCAGACUCAAAGGCAAUGAUUCCGAGAAACAGUGAAUGUCACAAGGAGACACCUGGGCUCUUUAUAAAGAGGUCUCUCUCAGCCUCCCUGCGCUUAGGGACAGUGGACAGCACUGCAGCACUGCAGCACUGCACUUGGGGCCAUUUUAAACAGCGAAGUCACCAAAACCACGCAAAAAAAUGCUAAAAGCACAGUACUAAACAGACCAUGGAAAAGACAUAUGUACAGUAUGAGAAGGUAAAGUGUCUGUCUGACCUCAGUGGGGAGCAUAAGCACUGGAUGACUCAACGUUUUCACUUCUCUGUGCAUGUCCAAAAAUGACAAAAAUGACUCAGUGGAAGUACUCUGCCUGUUGAUUUGGGGGUUAAAAUACAU